AGCGAACGCUGGCGGCAUGCCUAACACAUGCAAGUCGAACGAAGGCUUCGGCCUUAGUGGCGCACGGGUGCGUAACGCGUGGGAAUCUGCCCCUUGGUUCGGAAUAACAGUUAGAAAUGACUGCUAAUACCGGAUGAUGACGUAAGUCCAAAGAUUUAUCGCCGAGGGAUGAGCCCGCGUAGGAUUAGCUAGUUGGUGUGGUAAGAGCGCACCAAGGCGACGAUCCUUAGCUGGUCUGAGAGGAUGAUCAGCCACACUGGGACUGAGACACGGCCCAGACUCCUACGGGAGGCAGCAGUGGGGAAUAUUGGACAAUGGGCGAAAGCCUGAUCCAGCAAUGCCGCGUGAGUGAUGAAGGCCUUAGGGUUGUAAAGCUCUUUUACCCGGGACGAUAAUGACAGUACCGGGAGAAUAAGCUCCGGCUAACUCCGUG
rnacentral:rRNA from 1 species